CCCUAUGGGGUGCAGCAGGUACGAAACCUCCGCAAUACACGAAAGUGUGACGGGGUUACCCAAAGUGUUCUUAUUGAACUGUGGCAGGUGAGUAAUGUCCCCUGCUAGAAAGGAGAGGGCAAGGCUGGUGCCAGCCGCCGCGGUAAAACCAGCUCUUCAAGUGGUCGGGAUAAUUAUUGGGCUUAAAGUGUCCGUAGCCGGUUUAGUAAGUUCCUGGUAAAAUCAGGUAGCUUAACUAUCUGUAUGCUAGGAAUACUGCUAUACUAGAGGGCGGGAGAGGUCUGAGGUACUACAGGGGUAGGGGUGAAAUCUUAUAAUCCUUGUAGGACCACCAGUGGCGAAGGCGUCAGACUGGAACGCGCCUGACGGUGAGGGACGAAAGCCAGGGGAGCGAACCGGAUUAGAUACCCGGGUAGUCCUGGCCGUAAACGAUGCAUACUAGGUGAUGAUACGGCCAUGAGCCGUAUCAGUGCCGUAGGGAAACCGUUAAGUGUGCCGCCUGGGAAGUACGGUCGCAAGGCUAAAACUUAAAGGAAUUGGCGGGGGAGCACCACAAGGGGUGAAGCCUGCGGUUCAAUUGGACUCAACGCCGGGAAACUUACCAGGGGAGACAGUAGAAUGAAGGUCAGGUUGACGCCCUUACCCGACGAGCUGAGAGGAAGUGCAUGGCC
rnacentral:rRNA from 1 species